GACGAACGCUGGCGGCGUGCUUAACACAUGCAAGUCGAACGGAAAGGCUCCAGCUUGCUGGAGUACUCGAGUGGCGAACGGGUGAGUAACACGUGGGUAAUCUGCCCUGCACUCUGGGAUAAGCCUGGGAAACUGGGUCUAAUACUGGAUAUGACCUUUCUCCUUAUGGGGUUUGGUGGAAAGUUUUUCGGUGUAGGAUGAGCCCGCGGCCUACCAGCUUGUUGGUGGGGUGAUGGCCUACCAAGGCGACGACGGGUAGCCGGCCUGAGAGGGUGAUCGGCCACAUUGGGACUGAGAUACGGCCCAGACUCCUACGGGAGGCAGCAGUGGGGAAUAUUGCACAAUGGGCGGAAGCCUGAUGCAGCGACGCCGCGUGAGGGAUGACGGCCUUCGGGUUGUAAACCUCUUUCAGCAGGGACGAAGCGUAAGUGACGGUACCUGCAGAAGAAGCACCGGCUAACUAUGUG
rnacentral:rRNA from 1 species